UGACCUUAUUGCAGAAUUUGCCCCACUGGGCGUUGAUUAAACACCGACACUUUCUUCUGGUUUCCUUCCACGCGGUGACGCUCGAAUGCCUCGCAGAGAAGAAAAGAAUUGUGAAGAGCUUCUUACUUCAGUUAACUCUGUGCGAACAGACUGAGUUGAGAGCAUCUGAGUUGGAAACUCGGCAAUGGCGGAGAUAGGAAAGACGGUGCUUGACUCGGGAUGGCUAGCAGCGCGAUCCACCGAAGUUAAAUUCACCGGGACUCAGCUCACCACCACUCAUCCUCCGACUGGCCCGACCUCUCCUUGGAUGGAAGCUGUCGUUCCCGGAACUGUUCUGGCGACUCUAGUAAAGAACAAAACUGUUGGUGAUCCUUUCUAUGGUUUGGUGAAUGAGACGAUUGUUGAUAUAGCGGACUCUGGAAGGGAGUACUACACAUUCUGGUUUUUCACAAAAUUCCAGUGUAAGCUGUCAGGAACUCAGCAUUUAGAUCUAAAUUUCCGUGCGAUCAAUUACUCUGCAGAGGUGUACUUGAAUGGCCACAAAAAGGACCUUCCGAAAGGGAUGUUUCGGAGACAUUCCCUUGAAGUCACUGAUAUCCUAAAUCCUGAGGGUACAAACCUGCUGGCUGUUCUUGUUUACCCUCCAGACCAUCCUGGGAGCAUUCCUCCUGAGGGUGGGCAAGGAGGGGAUCAUGAGAUUGGAAAGGAUGUUGCCACACAAUAUGUUGAGGGUUGGGAUUGGAUAGCUCCAGUAAGGGAUAGGAACACUGGUAUUUGGGAUGAAGUCUCAAUAUAUGUUAGCGGGCCGGUAAAAAUAAUUGAUCCACACUUGGUUUCAUCAUUUUUUGACCAUAACACGAGGGUAUAUUUGCAUGCAACAACUGAAUUGGAAAAUAAAAGUGCUUGGGUUGCUGAGUGUUCUUUGAAUAUCCAAGUGACAACAGAACUUGAAGGAAGCAUUUGCUUAGUGGAGCAUCUUCAGACUCAACAUAUUUCAGUCCCUCCUGGAGCACGUAUUCAGUAUACUUUUCCUCAGCUUUUCUUCUACAAGCCCAAUUUAUGGUGGCCAAAUGGCAUGGGAAAGCAAUCUCUGUAUAAUGUCAGUAUAACUAUUGAUGUGAAGGGAUAUGGAAAGUCUGAUUCAUGGGGCCAACUAUUUGGUUUUCGCAAAAUUGAGUCUCAUAUCGAUUCUGCUACUGGAGGGAGGUUGUUCAAGGUGAAUGGACAGCCUAUUUUUAUCCGUGGUGGUAACUGGAUAUUAUCAGAUUGUUUACUACGGCUUUCUGAGGAACGUUACAAAACAGACAUAAAAUUUCAUGCAGAUAUGAAUCUAAACAUGAUUCGUUGUUGGGGUGGGGGAUUGGCUGAGAGGCCGGAAUUUUAUCAUUAUUGUGAUGUUUAUGGUUUGCUGGUGUGGCAGGAGUUUUGGAUUACUGGUGAUGUUGAUGGAAGAGGUAUCCCAGUAUCAAAUCCAAAUGGCCCACUUGACCAUGAUCUUUUCAUGCUAUGUGCCAGGGAUACCGUCAAGCUUUUAAGGAAUCAUCCUAGUCUCGCUCUCUGGGUUGGUGGAAACGAACAAGUUCCACCCCCUGACCUUAACACAGCUUUAAAGAAUGACCUGAAACUGCAUCCUUUUUUCGAGAACCAGAGUGAAAAUGCAAUGUCUGUGGAAGAUAUGUCCACAGUGUUCAAGGACCCUAGCCAAUAUCUAGAUGGCACACGCAUUUAUAUCCAAGGGUCCUUGUGGGAUGGCUUUGCUAAUGGGAAGGGAGACUUCUCUGAUGGUCCUUAUGAAAUCCAAAACCCUGAAGACUUCUUUAGGCAUGACUAUUACAAUUAUGGUUUCAACCCAGAGGUUGGUUCUGUAGGAAUGCCAGUUGCAGCUACUAUCAGAGCAACCAUGCCUCCAGAAGGGUGGCAAAUUCCAUUGUUUAAGAAGCUUCCCAAUGGUUACACAGAAGAAGUUCCAAAUCCCAUUUGGGAAUACCAUAAAUACAUUCCUUAUUCAAAACCUGGAAAAGUUCAUGACCAGAUUGAGCUGUAUGGGAUUCCAAAGGAUUUGGAUGAUUUUUGCUUGAAGGCUCAACUUGUUAACUACAUUCAGUAUAGAGCUCUAUUGGAGGGUUGGACUUCCCAUAUGUGGAGCAAAUACACUGGGGUUUUGAUUUGGAAGACACAGAACCCAUGGACAGGUCUUCGAGGUCAAUUUUAUGAUCACCUCCUGGACCAGACAGCAGGAUUUUAUGGUUGUCGUUGUGCUGCAGAGCCAAUUCAUGUCCAGCUGAAUCUUGCUACAUAUUUUAUAGAGGUAGUCAAUACUAUGUCAGAGGAAUUGUCGAAUGUUGCUGUAGAAGCAUCAGUCUGGGAUCUUGAAGGUGCAUGUCCAUAUUACAAAGUUUUUGAUAUGCAUUCCUUCCCACCAAAGAAAGUAGUUUCCAUUGGUGAGAUGAAGUAUCCAAAGUCUAAAAACCCAAAGCCAGUAUAUUUUCUUCUUCUCAAACUCUAUGAUGUGUCAAAUUAUCACAUUAUAUCCCGAAACUUUUACUGGUUGCAUCUUUCUGGUGGAGAUUACAAGUUGCUGGAACCAUACAGGAAAAACAGAAUACCUCUUAAGAUAACAUCAAAGAUAUUUAUCAAAGGUUCCUCUUAUGAAAUUGAAAUGAAUGUGCAAAACAAAUCUAAGGAACCUGAUCCCAAAAUUUUAACCUGCAAGAACAUUUUUGUUAGCAGACAUGGUGAUGGUGACUUUGAUAUGGCUUCAGUUGAAGCUACAUUUGAAGAAACUGAAGAGAAACAGAAGGCUGGUUUAUUUCAGAGACUUUGCAGACAAUUUUCAAGGGAAACUGAUGGUUUGAAAGUUGCAGAGGUAAAUGGAUCUGAUGUUGGAGUUGCUUUCUUUCUUAAUUUCUCUGUUCAUGCUAUGAAGACAGAUCACAAGGAAGGAGAAGACACUAGAAUACUCCCGGUUCAUUAUUCGGAUAACUAUUUUUCCCUAGUGCCGGGUGAGGAGAUGUCAAUUAAGAUCUCAUUCCAGGUCCCUCAAGGUGUCACUCCGCGAGUAACACUUAGAGGCUGGAACUACCAUAAUGGAUUGCACACUGUUCUUUGAGCUAGUACUUGCAGUGAUCUCUGAUACCUUCUUCUCCGUGAUUGGAUUUUGAGGUUGUUCAUCUGCACAAGAUCUCAAAGGCUGAUCAUGCUUUUGAGAAUUCUGGUUAUUCUGUAAAGUUAUUUUCUUUUCUGCCUCUCUGUGAACCAAGCUUCAAUGGUGGUUUAAGAAUAUUGUACCUUGUCCUGUUUCUUUAUUAUCUCCUCCCCAAUGUAUCCUCUAUCUGAAAUCCGACUGGAAAUAACCUACAUGGAGAGCAGUUUCUAUUCAUGGCAUUUCUCUUGGCAUUCUUAACCAGCUUCUUCAAGGUUGACAGUCUAGAGGCCACCAAACUUGACGAGAAGAAAGUGACUACCUGAACUUUGCAAGCUAUGGCUUUAUAUUCAUACAUAUAAUUAAUAAGUUUAUAUUUGAUGCAUUUCAGAUAUAAUCAGUCAUUCAAAUGCUAUUAUUUCGUUAAUAUAUAAAUUUAAAAGUUGAUUACUUUUAAAAAUAAA